rnacentral:rRNA from 1 species
AUUGAACGCUGGCGGCAUGCCCAACACAUGCAAGUCGAACGAGAUCUUCGGGUCUAGUGGCGCACGGGUGCGUAACGCGUGGGAAUCUGCCCUUUGGUUCGGAAUAACAGUUGGAAACGACUGCUAAUACCGGAUGAUGACGAAAGUCCAAAGAUUUAUCGCCAGAGGAUGAGCCCGCGUAGGAUUAGCUAGUUGGUGUGGUAAAGGCGCACCAAGGCGACGAUCCUUAGCUGGUCUGAGAGGAUGAUCAGCCACACUGGGACUGAGACACGGCCCAGACUCCUACGGGAGGCAGCAGUGGGGAAUAUUGGACAAUGGGCGAAAGCCUGAUCCAGCAAUGCCGCGUGAGUGAUGAAGGCCUUAGGGUUGUAAGGCUCUUUUACCCGGGAUGAUAAUGACAGUACCGGGAGAAUAAGCUCCGGCUAACUCCGUGCCAGCCGCCGCAGUAA